AUCAUUUCGUGGUUUAGAUUCAGGGGUUUUGAGGCAUUCCAUCUUUAUCUGUAAUUUCAAUUUGUUCCGUUCAAUUUCAGCCUUCCGCGUACAAAUCAAAUAGAUCGGUAUUUCCCAUAUCUCUUACUCUAUUGUUGUGUUUUCCGGUGAAACUCAAAUAAUCACCGGCCAAGUUCAUAUCAGCUGGUAUCAGUUUCCGGGUUUCGUAAGGG
rnacentral:lncRNA from 1 species